UUAAUACCGCGUGAGGGAUAGCAGUGAAAAUCCUUUUUCGUCAGUUCGAGUUUCCGCUUUUUAGCGGAAGUAUCGAGAACAAGAAAAAGAUUGUAACGAAUAGCCCGACCCUUG
rfam:Flavobacterium frigoris strain DSM 15719 genome assembly, contig: Ga0131223_104